AUGAAAAUCUCCAGUGCAAACUUUACUAAAGUUUGUCUCUCAAAUUUAAGCAAAACUGAGUGCAGAUGUGAGAAUCAGUACAUCUGGUCUUCUGAACAAUGCUCUAAACAUGGCGUUUGUGGCUCUGGUCAGAACUAUACAUGUGGAUGCAUCACUUCUCUUCCAACUGAUGGAUCAUUCUGUCGUCCACCAACUGCUUAUCUAAAAUCAUUCAGAUACACGACUGACAUAAAAAUCAAUGCUUCAAGAGUUGUUGUGAUUGAUCGUUUGAGGACAUUGAUCCAAGAACAAAAAUUCCCAAUGUGCAUCAAGAAAGGAGUGAAAAUCUCCAGUGCAAACAUCACUACAGUUUGUCUUUCAAAUUCAAGCAAAACCGAGUGCAGCUGUGAGAAUCAGUACAUCUGGUCCUCUGAACAAUGCUCCGAACAUGGCAUUUGUGGCUCUAGGGAAAAUAAUACAUGUGAAUGCAUCUCAUCUCUUCCAUCGCAUGGGUCAUUCUGUCAUCCACCAUCUGCUCAACUCAUGUCAUUCAGAUACACCAUUGACAUAAAAAUCAAUGCUUCAAGUCAUGUUGUGAUGGACCGUUUGAGAGCAUCAGUUCAUUUGGAACAAAAAUUCCAAAUGUGUAUUAAGAAAGGCAUGAAAAUAUCCAGUCUAAACAUCACUAUAGGCUGUCCUGCACCUACAACCAUCCCAAGCACAACCCCAAGUGUACCUACACCAUCUACAAUAUCAAUGCCAGCAUCAACAAGCAUCACAGCAGAUAUUACAAGCCAAUCAACACUGAUCCCAAACACACCUGACAUUGAUACAACAACAACAACAACAACAAUAAGCAGUCCAGAACCUACCAGAACUACAACUGCAGAAAUUACACUUGUUACAAGCAUUUCAACCCUAAUCCCGGACACAACUGAUAGUUCAGCAACUCCAGCUCCUACUACAACAGAAGAAACUACAAUUAUGACAAGCCCUCCAACUCUGUUCCCAAACACAAUGGAGAAUUCAACAGUAACAAGCACUACAACAUCUACUACAACAGAAGACAUUACAAUUAUAACAAGCCCUUCAACUCCGAUCCCAAACACAACUGAGAGUUCAACAAUAACAAGCACACCAGCACUUACUACAACAGAAGAAACUACAAUUAUUACAAGCCUUUCAACUUCGAUCCCAAACACAACUGAGAGUUCAACAUUAACAAGCACACCAGCACCUACUUUAAAAGAAGAGACUACAGUUAUUAUAAGCCUUCCAACUCCGAUCUCAAACACAACUGAGACUUCAACGAUGACAAGCACUACAGCAUCUAGUACAGUUAUUACACCCCUUAUUCCAAACACAACUGAAAGUACAACGGUAGAAACUACAGAUAUGACAAGCCUUUCAACAAUUCCAAACACAACUGAAAGUUCAACAGUUACAAGUGUUUCAACUUCAACAGCAGAAACAAGUAGGUCUUUGUGACAUUUUACUCUGAGCUUACAG
rnacentral:lncRNA from 1 species